UCUCUUCUCCUUCCUCCCCGUGCGCCCUUCCCCUUCUCUCCGUUCGCAGCCCAGCAACCGCCAACGCAGCCCAGUAACCGCCACCGCAGCCCAGCAACUGCCACCCCGAGACUUCUCUUCUUCCGUUUCUCUUUCUCUUUUCUUCUUCCACCCAGCGCCGCGACCGACCCCCAUCCGUUCGCAGCAACCGCCGACCUCCAUUCCUCUUCUCCUUCCGUUCGCAGCAAGCCGCCGACCAUCUCCUUCUUCUCUUCUCCUCUCCGCUCCGUCCAAACCCAGCCUCACCGUCGCGUCUCCCCUACUGAAGCCGAACGCCCGAUCUGCCGUCUCCAUCUCCGGUUCGCGAAGCAACCUUGCAGCAGUCGUCCCGCGCGCCGAUCUGCCUUCUCCAUCGCCGGUUCUGUCUCCGUCGAAGCCACGGUUCUGCAACCGUCUCCGCCGGUUCUGUCUCCGUCGACCACGCUCCCCGCUCACAACCGCCGCUCCACCUGCUAUCAACGUCGGCCGACUAGUUGCUGUAACCGUUCAGAUUUACUGUAACCGUUCAGAUUUGCUGUAACCGUUCAGAUUCGCGGUCUGUUCGCGACGGUCUCCAUCCGUGAAGCCCAGCCGCCACGUUCCCUUUGGCCGACCGCUGACCGACCCACACUUAGGAUUUUUGCUGCGAGUUCGACAUUCGUGCGUUGAGGUGUUGGGAGUAACGUUAGGCUCCCUUACAUUCACAACCCGUUUGUGAAUUGUUGAAGGUUCAGUUCGCCAAUAUAUCGGAUUGUUUCGAGGACGUUAGUUGAUUAAGGAGCUUCCCUAACUUUGAGGCAAAGGUAAUAAAAGCGGCAAACCGGCGAGGGGCAGGAAGGAAGCGUGACUGCCAUAGGAAAUAUGUUGUUUGCUUCCGCUUAUGGGUUCUUGUGAGGUUUAAGAUGAAUUGAAAGUUUGCUUACAAACGUUUAUUGUAAAUAGUAUUGUUUUUAUGUUUUCUUAAAUGUUUGAAAUUCAGGCCUGACUUAAAGAUGUUUUUAAAUUAGCUUACGUUUUGUUUUA